rnacentral:rRNA from 1 species
CCUACGGGAGGCAGCAGUGAGGAAUAUUGGUCAAUGGACGAGAGUCUGAACCAGCCAAGUCGCGUGAAGGAUGACUGCCCUAUGGGUUGUAAACUUCUUUUAUAAAGGAAUAAAACGAGGCACGUGUGCCUUUUUGCAUGUACUUUAUGAAUAAGGAUCGGCUAACUCCGUGCCAGCAGCGGCGGUAAUACGGAGGAUCCGAGCGUUAUCCGGAUGUAUUGGGUUUAAAGGGAGCGUAGAUGGGUUGUUAAGUCAGUUGUGAAAGUUUGCGGCUCAACCGUAAAAUUGCAAUUGAUACUGGCAGUCUUGAGUACAGUUGAGGUAGGCGGAAUUCGUGGUGUAGCGGUGAAAUGCUUAGAUAUCACGAAGAACCCCGAUUGCGAAGGCAGCUUACUAAACUGUGACUGACAUUGAGGCUCGAAAGUGUGGGUAUCAAACAGGAUUAGAUACCCUUGUAGUC